GGUUUUCUAGAUAGCCUGCUGCCUCCAAAAAAAAACAUCUCUCUCAUCUCCGCAAGGCUCCCCAAACCACUUGUGAACUAUAUCAAGUCCACCUUGAUGCUGGCCGUAAGGUUGGUGCUGGGGCUACAUAACCCUGCGUGGUAAUUCUGAGGCUAAUACAUGAACGUACCCCCUGAUCAACUGGGUAACCGGGCGGUUGGGGACAGUGCGGUCAGUCGCAGAUUUUGCUGGGAAUAGACGCACUUUCAAACCACCAUACGUUGACCUGGGGUACCAACCUUCGGCUUCUGGCCCUUUCUGGGUGGGCCUUGCUUUGUGCUUCUGACCUAUCAACUAAAUGGACAUGUAACGGACAUGCUAUGGUUACAACGGAUAGGUACGUAAGGGUUCGA
rnacentral:rRNA from 1 species